UAAUUUAUUUUCACUUUCACAUUCACGUUGAAUAACUUAAAAAAAACGGAAAAAAGUAUUGUAUUGUUAACCCUAGCAGGACUGCCGCUCCAAUGCUCCAUCCUCUUUCUUUUCACUUAAUUUUUCAACCGUCGGUCUAUUCUUUCACUCUCAUCCCUCUCACAGAUUUCCUUUUCUCUUCUCCUUAAAUCCAAUUUAGAGUUCCUUUCCUCCAUGAAUUUGACCCUAACUGAUUGGUCAUUAAUAAGCAAAGAGAAGCUUAGACCUUAGAGAUGCUUAACAAUGGCGAUCCACGGUUUAUAAUUAUAAGCUUUUCAUUUUGAACAAUUUCAAAGCUAUAUCAACAAAACAAAGUCAAUAAGAUCCAAUUUCAAGAUUAUUCAUAAAGAAGAUCAAGUAUUGCAUACAAGUUUAUGAUUUGUUGUGGUCGAUGAGCAUCAUUGAAAGAGAUCCUUGUAGCACAAAAUUUUAUUUUUUUAUUUGAUAUCUUGUUAUUCCUUUUUCAUUUGCAAUUGAGUUGUAUGAAAAUAUUAUCAAUUUUAAUUAUAAGUUUUGAGUACUUUGGUAGUUGGUA